UACGUAGGGGGCAAGCGUUAUCCGGAUUUACUGGGUGUAAAGGGAGCGUAGACGGCUGUGCAAGUCUGGAGUGAAAGGCAUGGGCUCAACCUGUGGACUGCUUUGGAAACUGUGCGGCUUGAGUGUCGGGGAGGCAAGUGGAAUUCCUAGUGUAGCGGUGAAAUGCGUAGGUAUUAGGAAGAACACCAGUGGCGAAGGCGGCUUGCUGGACGAUGACUGACGUUGAGGCUCGAAAGCGUGGGGAGCAAACAGG
rnacentral:rRNA from 1 species